rnacentral:lncRNA from 1 species
GCUCUCUGCAGUAAACACAAAUCUAGUCAGCAGCAUGUGACUAAUUUCCUUUAAUCAGUGAAUGCUGCUUGGGCUACAGCAUCCCGAUGGAAUUACAUUAGAGGUUCCCUCUGUAAGUACUGUCUUUCAAAAUUACUUUCUAACAGCACACCAAAUGGCAUAAGCAGGGAACAGAGUUGUGGCAGGCAGGCAGGCAUCAAUAGCAUCCUGCUCUUAAGCUGAGGUAAUGAUUACUAGUUGGAAUACGCUUGCAUUUCCCCCAAGAACAUGCAAUUCUGGUACAUGCAUGCAGGUAUGUGUGUAAUUACCCUCAUCACUGCAGCGAAACCAGUUGAACAGCGUGUUUAUAGAAACUGUCCUUAAGAGCGAUUGCCUCUUGAAGGAGCACAGCUCAUGUACGAGGAGUGGGACUGUCUCCAGCCAGCCCGGGGAGACGAUGCUGAGAGCAUAUUGAAAAGCUGUCUUCAGCAGAAGCUUGCCAGUUUAACAACUCCAUUCACUGUUCCUAUUGCACAGUGGGCUCUUUGACGCAACAGAAAGAGCUGCUUUUUUUUUUGCUUCCUCUUAAAUCCGCCUGGCCAAUUUAAAGCUUGUGGAUAUUUCUUCCCCCUCGGGGAAAGCUUAUGUGAGGAUUUUCUUUUUUUAACAGUUCAUUCUGUGAAACUAUUUUUUUUUUAUUGUUUGCUGUUAGAAAAUGUUGGAGCUGAACACAAGGCUUUCUUUGCAGACUGAUAUCAAGAGAACUAAGAAAGGCUGUAGACAUACUGUUAAUGUCACUCUUCAAGCUGUAUUUGAGGCAGGUUUCCAUAUGAACAGAAACAAAGACUCAGUAGCAAGAAGCUUCAUCAAAUAAGGAAAUCUCUUCAAAUACUCUGGUAGGUUAAGAUAAUUAUGCUUUGUUUCUAUUCUGUUUUCUGAAAACCUUUAUAAAUGCAUUUUAUUUCAGGAAAAGGUUUGCUUUAAAAAGGUAAUCCUUUUUUUUUUUUUUUUUUUUUUUUUUUUUUUUUUUUUUUAAAAAAAAAAAAAAAAGGAGAAAAAGUUGGGUUUGCAUCAACUUUGAGACACGACUUGUUAAAUCAAACCAAGCCAGAUACCACUGUGGUAAAAUGAGAAAAAAAAAAAGUUAUUCUGUAAGUUCACAUUGUGGGUAUUAUUCCAUAAGUUUGCAUGAAAUUUGCUUUGCUUCUGAUGGAAGCCUGAAGCUGUUGUUUUAAGAGAGAUGCUCUUUGGAACCUUUCAGGAAAUGCUGACCUGACUACAGGGUGUACUUCUAUGUAACAAAAGGAAAAAGAAAAAAAAUCUGGCUUUUGCUGGCAAGGAAAACUGGCUUUACUUUUGUCAUCAGUCAGCUCUGGGUUAAAGAAAGAGGAUGCCUCUUGGGUGAACUCUUAAAAUUUAACACAUUUCUAGCUGAAGAGCUGGUUUUCAAGAGCUAUUGACAGCUAUGGAAUAAUUGC